rnacentral:rRNA from 1 species
GAUGAACGCUGGCGGCGUGCCUAAUACAUGCAAGUCGAGCGAACAGAUCCUGCUCUUGCUCCUCUGUCGUUAGCGGCGGACGGGUGAGUAACGUGUGUAUCCCCUACCUAUCUUUCUGGUAUAACUUCGAGACACCGGCUCUAAUCCCGUAUAAUCUCUUGCUCCGCAUUGUUCAAUAGUAAGUUACGGUGUUUCUGUCACUUAUAGAUGCAUCUGCGCCGCUUUAGCUAGUUGUUACGGUCACGGCUUUCCAAGGCAACCAUGCGUAGCCGACGUGAGGGGGGGGUAGGCCACACUGGAAGUGAGACACGGACAAGACGCCUACGGGAGGCCGCAGAAGGGAAUGUGACGCAAUGGGCGAAAGCAUGACGGAGCGAGGCCGCGUGAGUGAUGAAGGUGUUGGGAUCGUAAUAAUCGGUUAUGAGGGAAGAACAAAUGUGUAAGGAAAUAAGCAGGGAUUGACGGUAAUUAAUAAGAAAGCCACGGCUAACUACGUG